CCUACGGGAGGCAGCAGUGGGGAAUUUUGGACAAUGGGCGCAAGCCUGAUCCAGCCAUGCCGCGUGAGUGAAGAGGGCCUUCGGGUUGUAAAGCUCUUUCGGCAGGAACGAAAUGGUUCGUGCUAAUACCACGGACUGAUGACGGUACCUGAAGAAGAAGCACCGGCUAACUACGUGCCAGCAGCCGCGGUAAUACGUAGGGUGCAGGCGUUAAUCGGAAUUACUGGGCGUAAAGCGUGCGCAGGCGGUUUCUUAAGUCAGAUGUGAAAGCCCCGGGCUUAACCUGGGAACUGCGUUUGAAACUGGGAGACUUGAGUGUGGCAGAGGGGGGUGGAAUUCCACGUGUAGCAGUGAAAUGCGUAGAUAUGUGGAGGAACACCGAUGGCGAAGGCAGCCCCCUGGGCUAACACUGACGCUCAUGCACGAAAGCGUGGGGAGCAAACAGGAUUAGAUACCCUGGUAGUCCACGCCCUAAACUAUGUCAACUGGUUGUCGGGAGAUUAACUCUCUUGGUAACGAAGCUAACGCGUGAAGUUGACCGCCUGGGGAGUACGGCCGCAAGGUUAAAACNCAAAGGAUUGACGGCUGAGAGNGCGAGACGACGACGAGGGAGGAGG
rnacentral:rRNA from 1 species